rnacentral:rRNA from 1 species
UACAGAGGGCGCAAGCGUUGUCCGGAAUUAUUGGGCGUAAAGAGCUCGUAGGCGGUCUGUUGCGUCCGCUGUGAAAACUCGGGGCUUAACCCCGAGCCUGCAGUGGAUACGGGCAGACUAGAGGUAGGUAGGGGAGAAUGGAAUUCCCGGUGUAGCGGUGAAAUGCGCAGAUAUCGGGAGGAACACCGGUGGCGAAGGCGGUUCUCUGGGCCUUACCUGACGCUGAGGAGCGAAAGCGUGGGGAGCGAACAGG